rnacentral:lncRNA from 10 species
GUAAAAGCAAGCAGCUGGAGCAAGGUGACAGGUAAAUGAUCUCAGAUGGAAAACUGAAUCUACAUAAUGGAGUGAAGAACACAGGAAAUUACACAUUUAAUGUGCUGAUCACUUAAUCGAAUUCUAUGUGUGAUAUUACCUAAAGCACAACUGACAAAAAUCUAACAGCCCUUUCUCUCAUAUGCAUGAGUAAAAGGUAUCAAGAAAUCCCAAGAAUAAUUGUAAAGGGAUAUCCUAUUCGCACAGAAAUUAUCUGUAUCUGAAGAACUUUAUUGAGAAGACAUGGUAAUCCUUUAAAAGUUGAUAAAGCUAUAAGCAUAAUAAGGAUACAGUUUUUCUUUCCUUGAAUACCACUAUAUUUCCUUCAUAUGUACCAACAAUUUCUCUUUAGUGACAACUUUCCAAGAGGUUACAUACCAUUUUUUAAAUGAUGAAAACACUAAUAAAUAUGUGCCUUCUGUAGAAGAAAAGUAAAAUGUUGGAAAUUUCUAAGGAUCAGAAAAAAAAGAAUGGAGUAGACUCUUUUAUCUAUUAACACAUAGAAAAAAAAUUAACAAUAUAAAAACUUUAAAUUAUUUUUUUAUUUUCCAUUGUUCCAUGUAACCUUUCUUCCAUUGUUCAAUUAUUCUACUGAGACCUAGAGCAAUUAUUUUCUAAAGGUAUUCUACAUAUUUUCUGGAAAUGAG